CUUCCACAUCGUGGAAGCUUUGUUCUUUCGCUCUUUGCAAUAAAUCUUGCUACUGCUCACUCUUUGGGUCCACGCUGCUUUUAUGAGCUGUAACACUCACCGCGAAGAUCUGCAGCUUCACUCCCGAGCCAGCGAGACCACGAACCCACCAGAAGGAAGAAACUCCGAACACAUCUGAACAUCAGAAGGGCAGACUCCAGACACGCCACCUUAAGAGCUGUAACACUCACCGCGAGGGUCCACGGCUUCAUUCUUGAAGUCAGUGAGACCAAGAACCCACCAAUUCCGGACACAAUUUCUUGGCUCUCAGUGGCUUCCAUGGAAGUUCUGCAAUCAACCAGCAGGAGAACCGCUUAAACCCAGGAGGCGGAGGUUGCAGUGAGCCAAGUAUGCAUCACUGCACUCCAGCCUGGAAGACAGAGUGAGACCCUGUCUCAACAAAAUAAAUUAAAAUAAAAAAUAAUAUAUUUUUCUAACUAUCAUCCCUUUUCCAAAUCAGGAAUUCCCCUUAAGUUUUCCUCAAUUUCCAUGGCAAUAUCUUUGCAUAGAUUCAUUAAGAAUUUGUCCUUUUUAAAUAAAAAAUAUAAAGGGAACUAUUCAUUAGGCAACAAAUGCCUUGUCUGAAAUAUCACAUUUGAGAAUGCUGCUCAUUUAAUCAGAAAGGUACGCUACUUUAAAGAACUGAGGUCCACUUUCUGGAGCCAAAAACUCAUAAAUCCCUCUCAGAAAAACCUGAUUUGCUUUGUAGGGUCUCAGGUUUAGAGAUGCUGAAAAAGAUAUUUUCGUUGCAGACAAAGGACCUCAGAGUAUUUGGAGAACUUUGAGAAGAGAGGAAUUCUCCCAAAUGUAUAGGUGUCACAGGUAAAAUACAGUCGAGAGAUUUUCUUGGACUUUAAUUCCUUAAAUCAGGAUAGCAAAUAAUAGGGGCUUUUACAAAUUCAAUCUGUUUCCUUACAAAAAUUUUCAGCAAAGUAAUUUCAGCAAAUUAAUUUUCAGCAAAGUAAAUGUAAGAAGACUUAUGUGAAAAAUUAACAUUCUCCAUGUAUCUAUGAAGCCAAACCUAAUAAAACCAGCUUUAAUUUGUGCUCAA
rnacentral:lncRNA from 1 species